UUAUGGGUGGAAGGAAACUCUUAUCGAUACACCACAGUUUUAAGCACAACUGUGAGGCUGAAGCAAGCAGAAAACUUGAAGCCAAAAAAAUUCCUUGCUGAAAGAGCUUCUCUUUCAUAGUUCAUCCCAGCACAAAAUUCCCUUUUGAGGUUCCUCGUGAACAAGCAAUCCCAAUGGAUUACUGUUAUGUCAGUCAGCCCAGAGUUGUGUGAGUUGCUUUGUAAGACUGGAAGGCAGCAAAUCCAUGCCCCAAUCCUUUUGUCUCCCUGCACAAACAAACACACAAACACAUGCCCAGAAACUCCUACAGAAGUGCUUGGGCAGGGCAUGGGGAUCUGAACACUUGGCCCACAGCUGUACCUGUCUCAGGGCACAAGGAUCAGAAUUACCCCAAGAGACUUCAGCUGGACCAGAGGGUCCCUUUUUGUCACAGCAGAGAAGACGCCAGUUCCAACCUGAGCUUUUGGCUUCGAGAAUAUCAGGAACCUUCACGCUAUGUGACCCCACAGCCCAGCCUAACUGGUCAGCAGAGAGCUGCAAAAGUCUCUGCUUGGAGAAGAUUUUCCAUACUGGGGUCCCAGUUAGCUGCAGGGUCCCUGCUCUCCUGCCAGGACCAUCCCAGUGGUACCCCCUGGGUGAGCCAAGCUCUGCACAGCCUGCCAUCCUCCUCCACAUCUAGCCUCCUCCAAGAAAAAUCUGUGAGUAAAACUCACCCCAGAGCCUACAGGAGGAAAGAUCGGGGCUGCUUCAAGGUGUGGAGCCAACCUUGGAGACAACUUGGCUGUCUCAGAGACAUGAUGGACUUCCAUAUGCAUCUGCCUACAAAGUGCUGGGUGAAAGAUGUGCUUUGAGGAGAGGCUUGAAGGAGAAGGCAACGGUGGAGAGAAAUGGAGAAUGUUCCAGGAGGAGGCUGCCAGUGAUUACACAUCACCCACAAGUGAAAUCAACUGCUCAUCCUCAGCUUCUGUUUCCAAAUGUGAUGAAAGCAUGGGGAAAG